ACGUGUGGGUCGCGGCUGCUGAGCGCCCGCCGAGGCCGUCGUCGGGGCGCCCCGGGCCGGGCAGUGCCGUCUGCGCGGGGCCCGAGGCGGCCCGAGACCCGGAGGCCGAGCAGGCGCCACGCGGGAUGGAGGAGGCGAAGCGUCGGAAGCAGCGCGGACCACCUCGGUGGGAGGCUGCGGCGUGGGGGGUCCUGGGUGCCGGCAGCACCGGGCGGGGACGCCUCCGAGAAGGCGGCCGCCCAGACCGCCAGCGCCGCCGCGCACCUCUGCCGGCACCGGAGCGCGGGUGGAGCACAGGUGGGCGGGGAGCGCGGGUGGAGCGCAGGUGGGCGGGAGCGCGGGUGGCCACAGGUGGGCGGGAGCGCAGGUGGAGCGCAGGUGGGCGGGAGCGCGUGUGACCACAGGUGGGCGGGAGCGCGGGUGGUGCGCAGGUGUGCGGGAGCGCGGGUGGCCACAGGUGGGCGGGAGCGCGGGUGGAGCACAGGUGUGCGGGAGCGCGGGUGGCGCACAGGUGGUGCGGGAGCGCGGGUGACCCGCAGGUGGGCGGGAGUGCGGGUGGCGCGCAGGUGUGUGAGAGCGCGGGUGACCACAGGUGGGCGGGAGCGCGGGUGGCGCACAGGUGUGCGGGAGCCUGUGUGGGGCACAGGGGUGCGGGGAGUGAGCGUGGCCACAGGUGUGCGGGAGCGCGGGGUGGCGCACAGGUGCGCGGGAGUGUGUGUGGCCGCAAGUGCACGGGAGCACGCGCGGCCGACGGGAGUAGGGAGCAUGUGUGGCGCACAGGUGUACCGGGUGGGGGCGAGCAGCCCCCGCGCAGGCCCACGGACCUGGGUGGGAGCCGUCGGCGCGGGCUCCCAGGGAGCACGUCCCCCGUCCGUCCACCUUAGGCAGGUGCCUGCUCCCCGGGCUCCUGGGCCCCGCGCUCCAGAAGCUGCCCUGUGCGCAGGCGGGAGCGGCAGAGGGGAGCUCCCUGCGGGCCAGCGCGGGGGGGCAAGGCGGCGCCCCUGCCCUGGUGCUGAGGACUGCGGGAGGCCGGUCCCAGGGCGCCUCGGCCUGCCAGCGCAGGGUUCCCUUCAGGGGCUGCUGGCCGAUCCCUACGGGGGCUCUGGAGACCGCGCAUCUGAGGACGACAGCAGCCUUCUCCGAGCGGGUGACAGCAUGGAGCGGCACUGGGCCCACACGGCAUACCCUGGCCCGGCAACUAGGAAGUGUGCAGUUGCAUUAUGUCUAAAAAAAUGUACGUACCUCUAUUAA
rnacentral:lncRNA from 1 species